rnacentral:snRNA from 1 species
GAGAGCUCAUCUUUCCGGUAUUCGAUCGCUACGUAUAGGCUGAUCUGCUUUGAUAGGUGACACCCACUCUCUCGAUGCCAUGCGCUCGGUCGAGAGGAGAAUGGAUCCCUCGGAUGCUAGGCGUGGAUUAGAGAUUAAAGUAGGAGUAUUCGCCCCCACUUAAUUCUUCCCUCCCCUUCGGCAUCGCGGUCCGAUAAGCCAUCAACCACAUCCAUAUAGGCACUGCACGGGGCAGUAUGCCUUCAUUU